GGGGGUUGAAUUGGUGAUGUUUCAAAAACAAAAUCUUUUCGCAAUCUUUUAUCAAAAGUACAAAGCUUUUUGAACUUUCUUGAAAUCUGUUGAUACUAUCUUUAUCCCUCGGAAAACCGGAACUUGUAAGCAGAGUUAUUCCCCAACUAGGACUUGCAGGCGAGCUACCCUUGGUUGAAAGCCCUGGUUGAGAAAGACUUUUCUUUACUAGCCGUUCCCUCUACCUGUCUACCGAGCUUACUAGUUCCGUUCAUUCCCUGCUGUAACUGUCAGAGCUCAG
rnacentral:lncRNA from 1 species